AAAUCAUGUUGUGGGCAUGAACUAACAAGAUCCUUGAGCCACUCCCAUCAUUGGAAGAAUGUCUCAUCUUCCUUUUGGGUGAAGUUCAUGAUCGGCUUUCUGAUGGU